UGAUAGGGCCAAACCGGAAGUCGAACUGUCAUUGCGGCAGUUAACAGAAUUAGUGUGGGAACAGAAAGUAGCCAUAGGGCUGGGACAAGAUACAGAGAUGGAGAGAGAUCAGGCCCGAAACCGAAUAAAUCUGGAAAUGCGACUCAUGGAGAUGGCUAUUUACCAGAUUCAACUCCUUUGGGAGGCAGGUCUGACACUGUUGUUUCAACUGCGCUCAAGAUUCUUCCCUCGAAGAAAUGCUCGCCGUGGCCCAGUGGCCUUCCGUGGGUGGAGAAACCCUAGGGCCCAGAAUCGUGGUCCGGGGUCAAGAGGCAAUUAGGAAGGAAGAAGUUCACUGAGUGAAAAAUGGCACUGAGGGCUGGGUUCGUUCCUUCAGCAGCCAAAUAAAAUCAUUACUAUUUCUGUUGUUGAAGUCA